rnacentral:rRNA from 1 species
AAUAAAUAUACCGGUUCUCGUUAGAUCACCGAAGUCAAGCAUCAUUGGGCGCGGUCAGUACUUGGGUGGGUGACCACCUGGGAACACUGCGUGCCGUU